GACGAACGCUGGCGGCGUGCUUAACACAUGCAAGUCGAACGGAAAGGCCCUGCUUUUGUGGGGUGCUCGAGUGGCGAACGGGUGAGUAACACGUGAGUAACCUGCCCUUGACUUUGGGAUAACUUCAGGAAACUGGGGCUAAUACCGGAUAGGAGCUCCUGCUGCAUGGUGGGGGUUGGAAAGUUUCGGCGGUUGGGGAUGGACUCGCGGCUUAUGAGCUUGUUGGUGGGGUAGUGGCUUACCAAGGCUUUGACGGGUAGCCGGCCUGAGAGGGUGACCGGCCACAAUGGGACUGAGAUACGGCCCAGACUCCUACGGGAGGCAGCAGUGGGGAAUAUUGCACAAUGGGCGGAAGCCUGAUGCAGCAACGCCGCGUGCGGGAUGACGGCCUUCGGGGUGUAAACCGCUUUCGCCUGUGACGAAGCGUGAGUGACGGUAAUGGGUAAAGAAGCACCGGCUAACUACGUG
rnacentral:rRNA from 1 species